rnacentral:rRNA from 1 species
GAGAAGCAAUGCGGUGACGCAAAGCGGAACUUGAAAGCCUGUCUCAGUUCGGAUUGGAGUCUGCAACUCGACUCCAUGAAGCUGGAUUCGCUAGUAAUCGCGCAUCAGCCAUGGCGCGGUGAAUACGUUCCCGGGCCUUGUACACACCGCCCGUCAAGCCAUGGAAGCCGGGAGUGCCUGAAGUACGCGACCGCAAGGAGCGUCCUAAGGUAAAACCGGUGACUGGGGCUAAGUCGUAACAAGGUACC